GACGAAGGUGGCGAGCGUUGUUCGGAAUCACUGGGCAUAAAGCGCACGUAGGCGGCUAGGUCCGUCCAAUGUGAAAGCCCCCGGCUCAACCGGGGAAUUGCAUCGGAUACAGCCUGGCUUGAGGACGGUUGGGGUGAGUGGAACUCCUGGUGGAGCGGUGAAAUGCGUAGAUAUCAGGAGGAACACCGGUGGCGAAAGCGGCUCACUGGACCGUUACUGACGCUGAGGUGCGAAAGCUAGGGGAGCAAACGGG
rnacentral:rRNA from 1 species